CUCCGUGGUGGGCCACCAUCCGUGCAGCUUCCAGGUGGGCCAUGACCACCUCCACGCCAUUGUCCGUGGCCUCCCAGGGCUCAGGGCUGUCCACCAGCGCGUCGUCCCUCUCCAGGAGAGUCACCAGGGGCAUGACGUGGGGAAAGGUGGUGUUGGUCAGCGGCGGCCCUUCUUUCCCUUCGUUCAGGCUCUUCAGGAACGGCUUCAGCUUCUUCUCGUAGAGGAUGGCACCCUCUG
rnacentral:lncRNA from 1 species